rnacentral:lncRNA from 7 species
GAACAACGUUUCUGAACAAGCGACAGGUUGACAAGGAUGCCAGAAAGUGACGAAUUUUAGGUGUGUUUACUGUUUACGUCUGAAAUACUCCUGCCGUUGAUCUGUUGUAACAUCUUGUUUCCCUCCCUGUAGGUAUCCUAUAGUCUGCAGCAGGACUAAGAAAAGUUGUACCGCUAAAUUGGGCGGCAUGCUUUUUUCUUGCAAAUUGUUUUCGUUUGCUCUCUAAAGUCUGCAGGUUGUCCCUAUCCAUGGUUACCUGAACUUCUUAUAACGUGAGUGUCUGAUCUGCUCCGCGGGAAGGGGCAGGCAAGCUCGAGCGACUGAAGAUGAAGCCCCUCUUGCUCAGCUUCUGUCAGUGUCUGUACAUUCCCCAUCUGCCAGACAUCCUGAUAGCUGAUGGUCUGUGCAGGACCAAAGUGGAUGCCGGAAAUGGAGUCCGGCCUCCAACCUGUGUAUAAUAUAGGUCAUGUAGUGGUCCAAAUCGUAGAACAGGUCCAUUCUUUGAAAACAUCUGGUUGUGUAUAUUAAUUCUCUUAGCACCUUCAGUGCAUGUUUUCAUGUCUCAUUAGAGGGAAUAGGUAUUUCAAUGUCAUUGCAUUGUCAGUGAGUCAUGUACAUUAUUAUACUGAAAAUGUAAACUAUAUAUGUCAUCUGUGUCAACUGACAACUGUAAUCAAAUAAUGACAUCCCUAUCUUGGGAAAGAACAUGAUUUAUUGCAAGUU